rnacentral:rRNA from 1 species
UACGUAGGGGGCUAGCGUUAUCCGGAAUUACUGGGCGUAAAGGGUGCGUAGGUGGUUUCUUAAGUCAGAGGUGAAAGGCUACGGCUCAACCGUAGUAAGCCUUUGAAACUGGGAAACUUGAGUGCAGGAGAGGAGAGUGGAAUUCCUAGUGUAGCGGUGAAAUGCGUAGAUAUUAGGAGGAACACCAGUUGCGAAGGCGGCUCUCUGGACUGUAACUGACACUGAGGCACGAAAGCGUGGGGAGCAAACAGGAUUAGAUAUCCCCGUAGUCCCUGAG